GGCUGUAGUAGCAGCAGUAGUGGCUGUAGUAGCAGUAGUAGUGGCUGUAGUAGCAGCAGCAGUGGCUGUAGUGGUAGCAGCAGUAGUGGCUGUAGUAGUAGUAGUGACUGUAGUAGCAGUAGCAGCAGUGGCUGUAGUAGCAGCAGUAGCAGGGGCUGUAGUAGCAGCAGUGGCUGUAGUAGCAGCAGUAGUGGCUGUAGUAGCAGCAGUAGUGGCUGUAGUAGCAGCAGUAGUGGCUGUAGUAGUAGCAGUAGUGGCUGUAGUAGUAGCAG